rnacentral:lncRNA from 1 species
UUGUUGAAAACUUAAAACCCUAAAAUGACCACUACAAUAACAAGAACAACUUCACAGCUGCUUUUACAAAAUCGACACAAUAAUGAAGUAAUGAAAAUGUCUUUGCUGUCAGGACCAUCUGCAAGCCGCGCAUUUCUGGGUGAAGAGAGAUACACUCAGAUUUGGCAUGCUGUGUGUGAGUACAGUGGCGAUGGGGAACAAGAACAACUUCACAGCUGCUUUACAAAAUCGACACAAUAAUGAAGUAAUGAAAAUGUCUUUGCUGUCAGGGCCAUCUGCAAGCCGCGCAUUUCUGGGUGAAGAGAGAUACACUCAGAUUUGGCAUGCUGUGUGUGAGUACAGUGGCGAUGGGGUGAAACCCAACAUCUCCUGGGUCCUUCCUGAUGAAGACACUGUAACUCAGGCGACUACUGAGGUCAAAUAUAAUGGAAUUAAAGUAGAAGUCAAUUCAACUCAUGAAUUUCAACUCAGUCAGUAUGAGGGGAAAGAUUUAAUAUGUCUGAUCCAGAACAAGCUCGGCAGGGAUGAGAGACGGACAAUACGAGUUCCAAAAUACUCUAUCUCAUCUAUUGAGGUUUUAAACGAAACCACACUUGAUCGUAGAAGUCAUGGCCAGAAUGAGCAUCGUUUAGCGUUGCAAGAAAAUCUCUCAAAUCAGAAGAUACUUCUCAGAGCCCAUGGCAAUGCUCCAUCAUACAAGACAAUAUGUUACAGGGAGGACGGGUCAGCAGCUGACACCGUGGGCAUGGCAUUGGUUUUUACAGAACCAGAGUCUGAACUGGAUGCAGGACUGUACAUAUGCCACGUCUCGUACCACCACCACAUGGCUAAAGUUUUCAUUCGGGUGGAUGUAACUAGUGAAGAGACUCAACACAUGAUAUUCAUCACUAUUUGCUUCUCGUCAGCCGCUGCAAUCACCCUCAUCCUGAUUAUCAUUUUGGUUGUCCUCUGCAAAAGUGGGAGUAGUCACUCAUCACAAAAGAAGAAAGACAGGAGAGAGCGUGAGUCUCUAGCUGCUCUAAUGCAGGACCCUCGCUGCCCAGACAAGACUGUGAUUCCAGGCACGGCUGGGCCGCACUAUGCUGAGCUUGUGCACUAUUCCAUUGUUUUUGAUGCUAAAAGCACCGUGUGACACACCUGUUGAAUUUUAUGACCGUAAUAUAUACGUUUUUGCACAUACUUGUGGAGUUCAUCACAGCUUGAGUGCAUUAAAAGGGGGACAUGUUUAAGAAAUGAAUUCAUUUUCAGUCAGAUUGUUAUGCUGAUAAUGUAACUGGUAAUGGAAAAAAGAAAAUGAACAUUUGCUGAAAGUUUACUCAACCUAAGGCCAUCCAAGAUUUUAGAUGAAUUGUUUCAUCUGAACAGAUUUGGAGAAAUUUAGUUUUACACCAAUGGAUCCCCUGCAGUGAAUGGGUGCCGUCAGAAUGAGAGUCCAAACAGCUGAUAAAAACAUCACAAUAAUCCACACGUAAUCCACACGACUCCAGUCCAUCACUUAACAUCUUGUGAAGUGAAAACCUGCGUGUUUGUAAUAAACACAUCCAUCAGGUUUCUCCAGAUCUGUUCCGAUGAAGAAACAACUCAUCUACAUUAGAUGGCCUGAGGGUGAGUAAAUUUUAAGCAAAUGUUUAUUUUUGGAUGAACUAUUCCUUUAAUAAGAAUAUUUCACUAGUGGUCUCAGGGGUUUUGGACCCCACUGUAUAUACACAUUGCAAUUGGUGUUUUUGAUAUGUAGCUGUUCUUUUUCCUCAAUUACAAAUACCAAUUGUAAGGAAAAUGAAGUAGCUUGGUAUUACUUUCAGCAUUAUGAUUUACUUUGAUAAGUAGCAUUGUUUUAUAAAAAUAUUAUAAGCACAUUUUCAAUGUUUUACUACUUUUUAGGAUUGUUCUGAUUUACACAGAUGUUCUGAUAUGUUCUUCUUUACACAGAGAUAUACUUUAAAAAUCUGGCUGGUGUCUUCUAUCUUGUUUCCAUUCCAAUUGAACUUGUAGCACACAAACUGACUGAAUUUGUAACGCUGUAGCGCCCUCUGGUGAUCAUACAGUAAAUAGUGGGGGAAUCCACAUCUGGUCCUGGUGAGUCCAGUCUGAUAUUUUAGUUAUAAGAUUGUACUGUUUUCACAGUCUUUGUUACAACGACGACUGAUCUUCCUUUGUGUUGCUCUAAGAUGUUUAGGCAUCUCCGGGGUAAAUAAUGUGACUGUGACACUUGUAAAAAAUACAAUAAAAUACUUGACAAGUUUAAAUACUUAUCGAGUCUGUUUGUUUAUCAGGUAAACACUAUUUAUAAUCAUAAAA